rnacentral:rRNA from 1 species
GACGAACGCUGGCGGCGUGCCUAAUACAUGCAAGUCGAACGCACAGUUUAUACCGUAGCUUGCUACACCAUAGACUGUGAGUUGCGAACGGGUGAGUAACGCGUAGGUAACCUGCCUGGUAGCGGGGGAUAACUAUUGGAAACGAUAGCUAAUACCGCAUAAUAUUAAUUAUUGCAUGAUAAUUGAUUGAAAGAUGCAACUGCAUCACUACCAGAUGGACCUGCGUUGUAUUAGCUAGUAGGUGAGGUAACGGCUCACCUAGGCGACGAUACAUAGCCGAGCUGAGAGGGUGAUCGGCCACACUGGGACUGAGACACGGCCCAGACUCCUACGGGAGGCAGCAGUAGGGAAUCUUCGGCAAUGGGCGAAAGUCUGACCGAGCAACGCCGCGUGAGUGAAGAAGGUUUUCGGAUCGUAAAGCUCUGUUGUAAGAGAGAACGGGUGUGAGAGUGGAAAGUUCACACUGUGACGGUAUCUUACCAGAAAGGGACGGCUAACUACGUG